rnacentral:rRNA from 1 species
ACUCAAAUGAAUUGACGGGGACCCGCACAAGCAGCGGAGCGUGUGGUUUAAUUCGAUGCGACGCGAAGCACCUUACCUGGGUUCAAUCUUCGUUGCACCACCUGUAAUGGGGUGUCUCCGCAAGGAGCGGCGAGGACGGUGCUGCAUGGCUGUCGUCAGCUCGUGCCGUGAGGUGUUGGGUUAAGUCCCCUAACGAGCGCAACCCCCGUGGACGGUUAUACCUCCGUUCAGACUGCCGCGCACAACGCGGAGGAAGGUGGGGAUGACGUCAAGUCAGCACGGCCCUUACGCCCAGGGCGACACACACGCUACAAUGGGCCGGACAAUGGGCUGCAACACGGCGACGUGAAGCGAAUCCCGCAAACCGGUCCUCAGUUCGGAUGGUAGGCUGCAACUCGCCUGCCUGAAGUCGGAGUUGCUAGUAACCGCAGGUCAGCACACUGCGGUGAAUACGUUCCCGGGUCUUGUACACACCGCCCGU